ensembl:lncRNA
GAUGUGGAUGUGCACAUCUUGUAUUUUGAGCGUGAGUCUUUGUGAAAGUGCACGUGCAUGAGUGUUUACACACACAUUUGGACUCCAGGCAUGCAUGUGUGUGUUCAUGUGUAGGAAUCUUUCUCUCUCUGCAGACUCCCCAAGUGGCAAAGAUCCGGCGGCCUGGCUGAUCAAAGAUCCCCUGGGAGUGGCCCUGUUCCCCCACACCAGAGUGGCCCACGUCCUCGGGCAGGUUCACAAAGUGUUUCAGCCCUGGAUCACAGGGUCAAGAAGGCAGAGAGGACACGGACAGCUUCCCCUUACCCCUUACAGAAGCCUCUCCCCUGUAGGGAAAGGGGUGCAGGUACAGGGAGGGGUCAGCACCUUGGAGCUGAAGGCCAUUGAGGGGAGUUGUGCAGACUGUGGGCCAUUCCCUUUCUGGGGAGAUCUGAACCUGAGCUGGGUUCUCCAGCCUUCUUAAAGAACUUCUUGGCUCCAAAUCAUAAUGAUGAUAGCCAUCAUUCAUUCAUUCAUUUGACAGGUAUUUAAUGAAUGCCUACUCUAGACCAGGCACCAUGUGGAAUGCUAGACUCACAAUGAAAAGGACAGAGGCCCUGGACCUACAAGUUUACAGCCCUGUGGAAGAGAUACGACAUAAGUCAAAUAGCCACAGGCAGCCAUGGUGAGCCUUGCAAAACAAAAGCUCAACUCUACAAAAAGCC